UAUGGGGGCAGUCCUUCUGGGCUUUCUCUCACCAAUCAUCUUCCUUCAUCUGGCUUUGGCCUGACUCAGAGCCCUGCCCUCAGGAUGGAUUUGAGCACAAGGGUCUCUGGGAAGUUGACAGGAUGUGCUGUGGUCUGGUACCCCUCCUUUCUCUGACCCCUGAGGAAUGUUUCUGCAGGUGUUUAGUUCCGGAGGUCUCCUUGACCUCAGGAAUGAGAAGUAGAUGAUUUCUAUCUUUUAUCCAAGGAGGAUGCAGCUUUUGUCUUGAAGUUCUCUGUCCACAGGCAACAGAUGACAAUUGCUCAGCCUGGGACCCACCAAUCUCCUGAUUCGAUUCUACUCACAAAAUUGUUUCUUGACAUAUUCAUCCUUAGGACAAUAUAAUGUUCAGGUGGUGCCUACAAAAAUAGACAUUUUAUUUUGUCUCUUAUAUUUCCACAUUCUCUAAGAAUUAACUUAUUAACUGAGGUUAAUUGGGAGCAGAUCUGUGGCUAGGAUUUGAGCCAUAGAAAUGGACAUUUUUGAGUUGGGAUACCUCAAAAAUCCCAAGAUGUUUAAACAUACUUAGCUUUAGGGGAGCAUAAGCGGAGUAAACUACUAGGAAAAAAAUUAUAGAAACAACUUGAAAUGAACAAAAGAAAAAAUAUAUAUAUAGUGUCUUCACUAGGAUACCUUUUGCUACUUGACUAUGGCUACUUUAUAACCUUGGUGUAGAAAACUGGCAGUGGGAAACCCAAAAUAAUAAAAUGAUUCAUAGAAAAGCAAAUGGAUUCUGCUUGAUGGAAAACAAUUGUUUAAUCCCCAGUGGAUAGAGUGAUUGUACAUCUUUUGUAUAUUCAUGUUAGCAUUUGUUAUUUCCUAGGUAUGUGGAGUUUUUUGAAUUCUUUGAACUGGCUAUAGCAUCUUAACCACUCAUUAAUGAGUUAAGUGAAUUGACAUAGCAUUGUUCAAAAUUGUACGAGAGUCAUCAAUUUACCUUUUUUUUCCUCCAAAAAUUAUUUUAACAGUAUAAGUCAGUGGUUCCAAAUUCUGGUUUUCACAGAAAUCCCUAGAGGGCUUGUUAAGACUCAGAUCACUGAGGCCCAUUUUUAGAAUUUCUGAGUCAGUAUUCCUGGGUGGGGCCCAGUAACUUGCAUUUCUGACAAGUGCAGGUGAUAUUGGUGCUACCUUGUCCAGACACUAUACUAUCACAAUCACUGGUAUAAAAGCACAGUACCCCAGGAUAAUGAUGGCAAUACCCCACCAAAACCUUCAAUUUACCUAAACAGAACGAUAUUCCUUCUAAAACCUAAUUUGCAGCCCUAAACUAUUUUCAGGUCCCUAUGUGAAAAGAAUGUUUCUGGUGCUUUCAUUUUUUUUUCCCCCCUCUAUGGCUGGAUAAAUCAGCCUCUUAAAUCUCCUGAUUUGGGCAUUAGAAAUAGUGGCAGCUUCUAUUAAGUGAUGUGAUAGGAAAUAGGAAGGUAUCAUAGAAGACAAUAUAAGAUUCACUCUAGACCAAUUAUGUAGUUAAUUACUCUAGCGUGUGAAUUUAGCCUUCAAAGCAAUCUCAUUCCGGCUGAGGAAAAAGCUUCUACAGACCAUUAUGGGGUGUGUGUGAUGUUAGAAAGGGGAAGACAGCCCCAUUGUUGGAAGAAGAGUGUAAAAGCAGUGUAAUCUGAAAUAAACAUAAGUGGAACUGUGUUUUCCCUGAGCUGUAGUCUUCAUUGCUUAAUAAGUCCUUUCUAUUCUAAUUUUUAUGAUUCAUUUGCUCUUUGGGACAAGUUAUCUAUUUUUUUCUUCUUUCUCCUUUCCUGUUGCAGGGUAUGCAUUAUCCUUUUCUAUUGUGGCUGUAGAAUUCAAUACACAUUUUCAUUGUCAGACAGGAGGGUAGUAGUGGAGAGUAAUUUAAAUGAGCAAACAUCUUUUUUCCUAUUUAAAUCAAAAGGAAAACCUGAUACCCAUGAGUGAACACCAUAUACCUGACCUAGAUAUGACUAUUGUCUUCCUUUUAUAUCCUCACAUUUCAUAAACAGAGGGGAAAAAAGUAAAAGCAAAUCCUGUCAUUGGCAUGCUGGUAGUGGAAAAAAUAUAGGCAGAACUUUCAAAUACUUUGAGGUGGCUUUUUAAAAAGUCUUUUGUGAACCUAUAAAACAUAAGGUAAAUUAAAUCUAAUUUGCAUGCAAUUUGUCAUUUAUUUAGAGGUUGAUGGCAAUUAAGAAAUGCAAUUUGUUCUUUAACACUGUAUUUCUCUCUCAUGUACAUUGAAAAAAUGCAUCCCAUUCCUGUUAUAUUCGUGAGGUUACAAUGGUGCACUCUAGUGGACAAACUGAAUACUUGAUUUUGUACAUAAAAUUUUGAUGAGGUUUUCAUAAUUGUGUACAUUUAAUUCAAAUAGAAACUCAGUAAUGGCACUUAGGUAGAAGACAAUUCAUCAUUUUAGGGAGAGAGUGUUUGGGGACGGGAUAGUGUCUCUGAACAAAUUUCACUUUUUAGAAAGUAAGUUUCUUUUUUCCCUCAUCCUUUCUUUCCUUUCCCUUCCUUCUUUUCAUUUUCUUUUAACCAAUGAACCCUCCAUUCAACAUUAUAAAGCGAAUUUAAAGUUGUCACUUGAAAGCUGAGGACAUAAAUGAAAUGUGUCAUUAUCAAUUUUAGAACUAUUUUAGGAAGUUUUCACUUUGGUGGAGAAACCUAUUUUAACAAAAGCAUUUUGCAGUGGAACCUCUUCAUAUUCCUUUAAUAUGAAUAGGAUAUCAGAAACAUCUAACAUAGAAAUUCACAAAGACUUGCAUUAACUGGUUGAUGCUUAACACUAGUAUUAGGAGUAAAAAUAUCUGUGAAAUACCUUAACCUGAGUGCAGUGAUAAUUUGGGACUAAAAUUUUUUUGCAUCUUAUUCUAAACUAUCUAGUAAUGAUGCAUAUCUUUAUGUGAAUUUUCUAAAAUAAUGUUUGUAUUGCCUAUCCUCUUUAAAAAUAUCCAUACAUGAAAUUUAGUUCUUUUAAAAUUUCUAUAGUAUGUCGUGAUGUGUUUAAUAGGUAAGAUGUCUUAUGUUUAUAAUAUUUACAAUUAUACAUAAUUUGAGAAAGUCAUUUGUUUAUCCCCAUAUCUAAUGUUGUAUCCAUUACUAAAAUAUUGGUAAAGAAACAGAAGAAAAGUAAACAGCAACAGAGGUAUAAUCUGUUCAAAUACCAAUCACCUAAACUCUUUCAUUCAAAAUAAGGCUGUACUUUGAUAAAUAAAGCCUUUUCCCUUGAACUUUUAUCAACUAAGAGAGUUAUCUAAUAAGAGUUUAUCAAUUAAGAAGAGUCAUUUAAGAGGCAAACUGCACCCUAAGUGAUUUUGCAAAUUAUUGUGGAGAAUUGUUAACAACUGCUUUGUUAUAAUGGAAUGACCUAAUAGCUUCCUGCAGUCAUAACUGUGCCUCUUAGGAGUACAUGUAGUCAUUUUUCCUUUAAACUUACCCUACGUUGGUAUGAAAAGCCUUGAGAAGAAGCCCCAUGAGCAUUUCUCAGCAUGGAAGUUGUGAAUGUGGACAGGCUGUUGAACGUGAGUAUGUGAAGAACAUUGCUAAUCAAAUUCCCUAUUCCAGUCUGGUUCACUCAUGAGACUCAGUUGACUCUAAAGUAAUCUUGGAUUUGAACUUGCUGUUUCAGGACAGUACAUAAAUAUUAUUAACAAGAUAAAUGAGGUUAAAAGAGUUGCCUCUACUCAUUCUCUCUCAUUCACCAAAAAGGAUUGGAUUAAAUUCAACUGAACAUGGUGCACAGGUGUUCAGAGGAAAUGAACUUUUAAUUGUAUUUCACUUGAUUUUUAUUUUACUAUUUGCCCCUUUAAAACAGUCCUAAUAGUGAAAAAAAAAAAAAGGUAACUUCAACCUAUUGUGAUAUAGAGAACCAGUGCUGAGUAUUGCACAGAAUUCAUUCUUUUUAGGCAACAGCAAAAAGCAAUAGCAACUUUAUGUAUCUAGAGGCAAAAUGACAUGGAUAUUGGAGUAGCUCAUAAAACUAAAGAAAGAGGUGCAGAACCAAUGCCUGGGAAAUACAGGUGCUAUGAAUGAGCAGGAAAUAUCAGUAAUAUAAAUUUAUGGACCUUCCCUGAAUGCUCCAUUAGAGAACUCAGCAUAUGGAGAUUUGAUAUGUGGAAAAGUUUCAGAUUCCUCAAAGAAAGAAUCUUAUAUUUGGUCAAACACUAGCCCUUUUAUCAAGCCCCCAAAACAGAGGUGACAGAAGGAACUAUAAUACUCAGCUUCAUGGGGAUCACUUAGAAGGAUGAAUGGUAAAGGGAUGUAGGAGAAGGAGAGAAAGGAGGUUGAGUAGCCAAAACAAUCAAAUAUUCAUUACAUUCUAACUCCUGUCUUAGUACUACACAUCUACCUAUGUUCUGAAAUUUUAAGAGCAUUCUCU
rnacentral:lncRNA from 1 species